AAGCGGUGGAUGAUGUGGAUUAAUUCGAUGCAACGCGAAGAACCUUACCUACCCUUGACAUGUCCGGAACUUGCCAGAGAUGGCUUGGUGCCCGAAAGGGAACCGGAACACAGGUGCUGCAUGGCUGUCGUCAGCUCGUGUCGUGAGAUGUUGGGUUAAGUCCCGCAACGAGCGCAACCCUUGUCCUUAGUUGCUACGCAAGAGCACUCUAAGGAGACUGCCGGUGACAAACCGGAGGAAGGUGGGGAUGACGUCAAGUCCUCAUGGCCCUUAUGGGUAGGGCUUCACACGUCAUACAAUGGUCGGUACAGAGGGUUGCCAAGCCGCGAGGUGGAGCCAAUCCCACAAAGCCGAUCGUAGUCCGGAUUGUUCUCUGCAACUCGAGAGCAUGAAGUCGGAAUCGCUAGUAAUCGCAGGUCAGCAUACUGCGGUGAAUACGUUCCCGGGUCUU
rnacentral:rRNA from 1 species